UCCCCUGUAGCUCAAUUGGCAGAGCGUUCGGCUGUUAACCGAUAGGUUGAAGGUUCGAGUCCUUCCGGGGGAG
rnacentral:tRNA from 1 species